GGAAUUACCUGAAAAAUAGACCUUGUUAAUGACUGGCUCCUUGAAGAUUCACGAUGUAUGUAUUCCCAUUGUUCCAGUAGAAUUCAAGCAGCUUUACAUUCACACUUCGUGUCAGUACAGCCACCUAACCCACCCUGCAUGCAUACAAGCAAACACUGAAGAAUGAGGAAGCAACACAGAAGAACACUCUGGUGCAGUUAUACAAGGACAUUAAGUGGAUUGGGGAGAGAGUCACCAAAUGAUGGUCUUGCUCUGGACUCCAAAUGGCCUAGCUACUCCUCUGUGGGAAUGUUAUGAAAAUACAGGUGGAACAGCUUGCUGCAACAUUUAUGCACAACAUGAUUUCAUUUUUUUCUUUUUUGUUAUAACCUAAUAUGACCAAUAUUGUUUAGAAACUGGAAUGUCACUGCAUUUUGGAAGACUAGUGAUGUAAAAAACAUUCAUAUGUGACUAUCCUUGAAAGUUGGUUGGUAUAACUGUUCUUUUCCACAAUGUGUCCAGUGAGGUAAGCAGAAUAUGCAGUUUUUAUACUCCAAAUAAGAUAAAAUAAAAUGAAUAAAACAAAUAAACCAAGGGAUAAAAUAAAUGUAUAUUAUACAACAACUCCUCCUGAAGUAUUUGAAACUCAGACACAGUGUUGAAAAGAGAAAGUGCAGUCAGAUUAAAUCAUUUAACUAAGAGGAAAUAAUGAAGAACAGCUGCAGUCAGAGGAGAAAUUAUAGAACCUAGCACUGAAGUGGUAAUGUUUUUAAUGAUUUAGCUAUAGUGACAUAUUACUGCAGAAGUGUGGCAAAUUAAAACUGGAAGGACUUUCAUUAAGAACAAUUGAUUAUCAGUCAAUGACUGACAUGAUGAUGAACUGAAUAGUAGCAUACAAAGGUUCAGUAAAGGAACAACAGAUUUUUUUUAAAUAAACAUAGAACAAUUAUAUGAGCCACCUGCUGGUGAAACCUUGACUCUAGAUGAUUGUCACUGUUGAAGUGACAGCCCAACCCCAUGUGCAAAAAUGGGAAAAAAUGGGUUGUGGGUGGCUAGAUGGAUGGGUGAGGUACUCAGGAUAAAUGCAUAGAGUGUCUCUCUAAUAACAGUUUGCAUGGCUAUCCAGUCAUCUAAACAUGGUCUGAGCUGAGCUUGCAGUGUGUGUGUGUGGACAGGCAGAUAGAUGCAUAUUGCAUGCUGACACAGUCCCCCCCCAUAUUUACUGUCAUUUUUCAGAAUUCAUAAGUCAUGCUACAUAUAACACCCCAAGGUCUCUUGUCUUCAUAUAACAGAAGAAAAACUAGAUUACCUGUAUUUGAUCGUCACUUUAAAAGAAUUAGACUUCAUUGUUUUUUUUUUUACAUGGCAAGGUAUAGCCCAAAAGUAAUAGAAAAAUGAGGAAAGAGUAUUUCAUAUGUGGCAAGCUCCUUGCAUCUUCUUUGUUGAAAGCUUUGCUCCAUACCUCCUUACUUAAAUAAUUUAACUCCAGAGUCACACAGCAGUGGAUAAAAGAGAAAACAACAAUGCAUUGCAAUACACUCAUGCAACAUAAGUCAUCGAGGCUCUGAUAAACUAAUGAAAAGAAAUGCAAGGAAAAGCACCCACAUGAACAAAAUUUAUUAGAGUAGGAUGAAGUAAAAUAAUCCAGAUACUUGUUUUAAAGCAGAAGGCUAGUUAGGUUAUUCUCUGUCUAUACUCAAAGCACUUGUUAAUAGAAAAGCUAGAGAAAUGACAUAUGUUUGUUGACUCUAAUGCUUGCUGGAACUUCAGUUAUGUGAUCAAGUAAUACAAUAUCACCAUCAGUUUACUACAGAGAUUAUAUUUUUUAUGUUUUUAGACCAUGCCCUGCAGCAGUCCUUGCUUUGACUCCAACAGCCUCCAUUUGUCUAAAUGGCACUUUCAGAGUAACUUAAUUAGACAUUGCUCCCAGUUUGCACUUUAAAGGGUCUCUGUCCUGCAGUCUUACCCUGUUAACAAAUAUUCUUCUUUUCUGUAUCAAACAGCUAUUGUACUAUGUUGUCUAGUUAGGGGUAUUUUUUGAACAUAAAUCUCAUUCAUCAUAACUUCAUGAUGGCAGAUUUAAAGAUAAAAUAAAGUAAAAUGACUGCCAGAGUACAAACUACCAAAUACUCAGUUUUGCCAAUACUCAUGUUUUUCUUCCACUAAGCACCUGUUUUCUUGAUUUUAAUAAUAACAGUUAUAUGGCAGCAUAAGGUGGGUAACAGCUUUUAAAGCUGUUCUUGAUUAGCACUGUAGUUCAAUUAUAAUUACCAUCUGGCAUCAUGAAAUGUGCACAGAAAACAACAAGUGAAAACUAAUAAAAAGGAAAAUAUCCACAGAAACUCCACCACACAAAGGAUUUAUUCACAACUGAGCACUUUC